rnacentral:rRNA from 1 species
UACGGGGGGAGCAAGCGUUGUUCGGAUUUACUGGGCGUAAAGGGCGCGUAGGCGGUCGUGACAAGUCACUUGUGAAAUCUCCGGGCUUAACUCGGAACGGUCAAGUGAUACUGUCGGACUAGAGUACAGAAGGGGCAACUGGAAUUCUCGGUGUAGCGGUGAAAUGCGUAGAUAUCGGGAGGAACACCGGUGGCGAAGGCGGCGACCUGGGUCGACACUGACGCUGAGGCGCGAAAGCGUGGGGAGCAAACAGG